rnacentral:lncRNA from 1 species
UUGGGUGGAACCUGGUUUUGUGGCAUGCCAAACCUCCCGCUUUAAUGACAGUGUUAAUUAUAACAUUAAAAUGACAACAUUACACGACAGGGUUACAAUAAAUAAACAGAUAAAUGGGAGAAAACAUAGGACAGAGAAACAAACGAAUAAUAGCCAUCAAAAGGUAACAGGUUAAAAAAUAUUUUUAUACGCCAGACGCGCGCUACGUCCACACAAAACUAUGCUCAGAUGUAAAAAGUUUAAAAGCCAUAACAACUACAAAGUUGAAGAUCGCCGAGGACCAAAAGUUCCAAAAAGUUGUGAGGCCAGGGUUAUCCGCC